CAACCCUUAAGCUUAGCUUAGUGUUGGGAAUCUACCGCGAGCGGUGCUACACUGUAGCUACCCUGUAGUUCCUCAAAUUUAACGGCGGAGUUCUAGUUACCUCUGAGCGCAGUAAUACUUAUCACGCUUAGGAAGUGCUAUAAUUCUAGCCGUAAAACCCCCAAUUUUUUAAU
rnacentral:misc_RNA from 1 species